rnacentral:rRNA from 1 species
AAAUACGGGAGGCAGCAGUGAGGAAUAUUGGACAAUGGUCGGAAGACUGAUCCAGCCAUGCCGCGUGCAGGAUGAAGGUCCUAUGGAUUGUAAACUGCUUUUGUAAGGGAAGAAUAAGGAGUACGUGUACUUUGAUGACGGUACCUUACGAAUAAGCAUCGGCUAACUCCGUGCCAGCAGCCGCGGUAAUUUUU